UCGUAUUUGAACUCCACCCAAAGCCAUUUGUUGCCGAUAUCGAGGAUAGCUCCCGAUUUCAAAGGGGGAACUCCUCCAAUGCGUACCCAGAAGGCGGCCUUAGUAAAAUCAUAGCAAUGUUCAGGGACUUCUGGGAUACACUGCUGUAGAACAAGCAAAUUAGUUGAGUAUGACCAAGUUAUGAAAGCAGGAUAGUUCACAUUUGGUUUGGAGAACAAUUUUCCAAA